AGACAGAGCUAUGCAGUCUUCAAUAAUACAGUAAAAUUGUACUUGUGCCAUGAAAAAGCUGUGCAGUGCUUACUCCAAACCUUAAGUGAAACUGGUUCUCCACAAUCUGUAACAUACAUGUAUAUCCCAGUGUAUUUAGGAGGACCGGAAGGACCCCAAAGUAAUCUUUGCUGCACCUCUGCUUAUGUUUUCUCAAUAUACCUUUGGGGCAUGUUACUGAAAGACAAUUUUUAGUGUUUUAUAAAAACGUCUGUAGAAAUUCAGUUUGGGAAAAGUUUCCCUCUCAUGUGACAUGAUUUGUUCUCUAUACACUCUGCCUGUGAAGCUACAGCUGCAGUGAUUUGGAAACCGUAGGUAAAAAGGCGUGGAAUGUUUUACAGUCACAAUUUUUCCCUCAUUUGUGCCAGGAGCAAGGACAAACUGCGGGAGCCAUCUGCCUUCCCCCAGCCUGUCUGGAGCGGGAAGAGCAGCAGCCAAGAAGCUGUGUGAUGGCUCUGCCCGUCAUAGCCCUGGCCCUUUUCGUCUCAGCCAUAGGGAAGGAGGCAGCAAAUCCUGCUUCUGGCAGCACCCAGCAAUGUCACUGUGCUCCUGACUGCAGUGCAAGCAUUCCUGUCUCAUCUGAAUAAUGGGUUAAUGAUGGGUUCUGUGCUUAAAAUUGCUUAAUGUACAUAAAAGUCUUGAGUGCUUUGACACAUGCUUUACAAGUAUCAGUAGGAGGCGUAAGUUAUAAAAGAUAACCAAGACAGGGAAAGGAUUUAUUUAUUUAUUUAUUUAUUUUUAUUUUCCAGAACAGCAACAAAUACCAUGACCAGUAAGAACUAACUUUGGCCUAGUCUUCUCAUCUAGUACCACACAGCAUUGUGGCAGAGCAGUGCUCUAUAACAAGAAGCGCUGAGCUUAUUGCACAAAGACUCAGGACUGAAGUGCUCCAGAGCUGCCCUGGUCCCCAGCUGCCAGAGUCCACCUGGCAGCUAAACAAGCAGUGGGCUCCUCCUCUCCUGGAGACAAACCCGGUCCUCAGGCUCACUCCCCAGCUAAGACAUCUGUAUCCUGAAAAUAGGCUGAAGAUUUCUUAUUAUGUUGUUUCUCUGGCUGUUUGUGUAAGUAAAUCUUGUAGUCAGGCAAUGCAUGAACAGUUUGGCACAUAUAAUUUUCUCAAUGUAUUCAGAUGUAGUGCCCUGAAUACUAAGCA
rnacentral:lncRNA from 1 species